CCAAAAUACUUUGGUUAUUGAUUCUGUUAAGCUGGCUACCCAGUUUUUGGCCCCUAAAGGCACCUUUGUCACCAAGGUUUUUAGGUCCCAAGAUUACAGUUCCGUUCUAUAUUGUCUCAAGCAGCUGUUUGAGGAGGUUAAAGUUUGGAAACCACAUGCUAGUCGCCCAAAAUCAGCUGAGACUUAUGUUUUGGGGCUAAGGUAUAAAGCCCCGGCAAAGAUUGAUCCACGCCUUCUUGAUUUCAAACAUCUGUUUCAGGGAUCGAUAGAACCACAAAAGAAGGUGAUUGAUGUACUUAGGGUAACAA